CGGAAGUGCGCGCUCACUAGGCUGCCCCAGGGCGGAGGCACUAGAGGCGGCAAGAGCGGGUCCGGGGAGAUGUGCUCUGGGGUUGGAAAAAGCGAAAAUGAAAAGAAAAAUCGUACGAGAAAGCAUGAGAUGGGGAACGAGUCUGGGAAAGAGAGAAUGGUCCCUGUCAGCCCCUUAAAGUUCAAACAGCUGCUUCACUCCUUUCUGGGACGACUGAUCUUUCCUCUGGGAUCACCCAUAGAUGUGCUCAAGAAUUUUUGACUUAGGAACAGCACAAUUGAUAGUCAGCAACUGCACAGAAGAGAACACAGGCUUUGCUUCAACAUGAGCAAAGUCUCUGCGCAUCCAACCCCAAAGGUCUGACCUGCCUUGCCCAGCCGACAGCCGCUGAGGGAGUAGCUGGACUCAGCUGAGGGAGUAGCUGGACUCAGCUGAGGGAGUAGCUGGACUCAGCUGAGGGAGUAGCUGGACUCAGCUGAGGGAGUAGCUGGACUCAGAGAGUGCUGCUCCAGUGCUGCUCCAGUGCUUUUAGCAUCUUGUCUAACAAGGCACCCAGUCUCCCCCGUGGGGGGGGGGGGCGGGGGGCAGUGAACUUUGAUGAGGGGCUGUGGAACACAGACUUCUGAACUAGACUGUUUGGGCUUCACUGCUAGCUCUAACAUGUGCUGCUGCAUAGUGAGAGUUAGCCCCCUGCCUCUGGUUCAUACUGCAGCUGGCUGUUGUGAGAGUAAAAUGCCGCAAAUCACUGAUUUCAGAGUGUCUGCCACUCAGACCAGGCUGGCCUUGGACUCAGACAUCCAUCUGCCUCAGAUUUCUGAAUACUGCGAUUAAAAGCGUGUGCAGCCACACCAGGCUCGAGCUGUUUAAUUGUAGAAUCCUUUGACAGAGGGCCGUAGAAGUAGCUCAUAGGGUAAGUGUGCUUGCUGCUAAUCCUAGCA
rnacentral:lncRNA from 1 species